GAUAAUGAAAAGAUUGGUUUGCCUGGGGCUGAGAGGUUUCAUCUGGAAGAUUAACAGGUGGUAAGCCUGGAAAG
rnacentral:miRNA from 1 species